rnacentral:lncRNA from 1 species
UUCCUAUACUACCCUUUAAUGCAACAAUGGGAUGAAGAGAUGAAGACUUCUAGCAGGCUACCUCAGAAAGGUUGCUGACCAAAGGCUGUAUGGACCAAAAAGUCAUAACACCACCCUGGAUGAAAGGACAUUUACCUAAGGAAUUACCCGCUCUCAAUUCUUCCCAGGGAUGGGCAUUUGAAUUAUUUCCAGUUUUUGGCUAUUAUGAAAAAAACUGCUAUGAACAUUCAUACACAAGUGUGUGUGUGGACCCAUGUUUUCACUGAUCAAGGCCUAAAUACCUACGUGGUGCUUCGUGAACCCUGGAUGCUACAGUCUCUGGCCACAGCACUAAAUGUAUGCUGAGAUCUGGCUUCACGGUCGAGGGUGUUGCUGGUUUUCAAUGUGCCUGACAUAGGAUCAAUGGUGAAUGCACCAGAAGCCUCAUCAGUCAGAAAAUACUCAGUUUGCCCAUUCAGGCCUUCAUCCUUGUCCACAGCUGAAAGCACAAGAACCACUGUUCCCACUUCAGCAUCUUCUCUCACAGAGGACUGGUAAUAAAGUGUGGGAAAAGAA